AUUCCCCUUUACGACGACUCGGUGACCUUUGACACGUUAGACCUGGUUGCACGUAAUCUUUACUUUCGCCUUUCACUCGUGCAGUUGGACUGACUAGUGACUUUAAAUUAAACCUUGAGACCGAGCCCUGCCUCUCACCUUUCGGUUCAUUGCAAGGAAAGACUAAAAAGAAAAAAGGAAGCUUUCGGCGGACACAAGCCCUCGGGACU
rnacentral:lncRNA from 1 species